GACGAACGCUGGCGGCGUGCUUAACACAUGCAAGUCGAACGGAAAGGCCUCUUUCGGGGGGUACUCGAGUGGCGAACGGGUGAGUAAUACGUGAGUAACCUGCCCUUGACUUUGGGAUAACUUCAGGAAACUGGGGCUAAUACCGGAUAGGAGCUCCUGCUGCAUGGUGGGGGUUGGAAAGUUUCGGCGGUUGGGGAUGGACUCGCGGCUUAUCAGCUUGUUGGUGGGGUAGUGGCUUACCAAGGCUUUGACGGGUAGCCGGCCUGAGAGGGUGACCGGCCACAUUGGGACUGAGAUACGGCCCAGACUCCUACGGGAGGCAGCAGUGGGGAAUAUUGCACAAUGGGUGGAAGCCUGAUGCAGCAACGCCGUGUGCGGGAUGACGGCCUUCGGGUUGUAAACCGCUUUCGCUCAUGACGAAGCUUUGUGUGACGGUAGUGGGUAAAGAAGCACCGGCUAACUACGU
rnacentral:rRNA from 1 species